rnacentral:rRNA from 1 species
GGGGAAUUUUGGACAAUGGGCGCAAGCCUGAUCCAGCAAUGCCGCGUGCAGGAAGAAGGCCUUCGGGUUGUAAACUGCUUUUGUCAGGGAAGAAAUCCUCUGGGUUGAUACCUCGGGGGGAUGACGGUACCUGAAGAAUAAGCACCGGCUAACUACGUGCCAGCAGCCGCGGUAAUACGUAGGGUGCGAGCGUUAAUCGGAAUUACUGGGCGUAAAGCGUGCGCAGGCGGUUUUGUAAGCCAGAUGUGAAAUCCCCGGGCUUAACCUGGGAAUGGCAUUUGGGACUGCAAGGCUGGAGUUUGGCAGAGGAGACUGGAAUUCCUGGUGUAGCAGUGAAAUGCGUAGAUAUCAGGAGGAACACCGAUGGCGAAGGCAGGUCUCUGGGCUGAAACUGACGCUCAUGCACGAAAGCGUGGGGAGCAAAC